CGUAGGGGGCAAGCGUUGUCCGGAUUUAUUGGGCGUAAAGCGCUCGCAGGUGGUCCGUUGCGUCGUGCGUGAAAGACCCCGGCUCAACUGGGGAGUGUCGUGCGAUACGGGCGGACUGGAGGCCAGUAGGGGGAUGCGGAAUUCCGGGUGUAGUGGUGGAAUGCGUAGAGAUCCGGAGGAACACCAGCGGCGAAGGCGGCAUCCUGGACUGGUCCUGACACUCAGGAGCGAAAGCGUGGGGAGCGAUCCGGAUUAGAUACCCGGGUAGUCCACGCUGUAAACGAUGAGUACUAGGUGUCGGGGGUAUCGACCCCCUCGGUGCCGCAGCUAACGCGAUAAGUACUCCGCCUGGGGACUACGGCCGCAAGGCUA
rnacentral:rRNA from 1 species